rnacentral:lncRNA from 1 species
CCACGAGUGAGGGUCCUGGUGGGGCGGGUGUGUCUUUCCUACCCCCACCCCGAGGUGCCGGAUGAGACACCAGCUACCCCUGGCGGGGUGAUGAGGGGUGGGGUGAUCUGAUCUGCGGGGUCGGAGGGGAUAGGACACGGGCUGUGUGGACCUGGGUGGGCUCAGAACACCCGGGGGACAGCGGCGUGGAACCCCACAAGUGGUUCUGCGGGCACCAAGGCCCCCCCAGGUUCCACUGCAGGACGGGGGCGCUGCUGCGGUCACCCCAUCGCCCCCAACAACCAGGACCCGCAGCGCGUAGCCCGGGGGGAGCGAAGCGUCCGCGGCGUCCUCACCCCGCCGCUCCAGCCUCGCGUGGGGCAGGGCCCAGGGAGACAGGGUGGCGAAGGCCCGGCGGGCCCAGGAGGCCUGAGGGGAGGGGCAGGAUGUGACCCGCGGGUCUUUGUGACCUGGUGGGGGAUUGAGUGUGACCUUCACAGGGGGGCGCGGGCCGCAGCGCGUGACCUGGGGCUACACUCGGGCCCUCCCGGGGCGGACACCAUGGCGCGCACCGUCCCGCGCCCCGGACCCCGCAACCGCGCCUGCUCCGACAGCAGCCCGGGACCCGGACCCCAACCCCAACCCGGGCCCAGCCCAAGCGCCGCCGACUGCUACCGGUCCGGGCCCGCGCCCCCCGCACGCCGCAGCCCCCAGCGCCCCCGCGUCCCCCGCCGCCCGCGCAGCCCCACGCCCCGGGGCCGCCGCCGCCGCACAGCCCCAGGCUCCGGGCCCAGCAGCCGCCGCACCGGGGGUGCACAAUGCGCGUGGCCGCCCCAGCACGUUGCCCCGGGCAACCCCAGGACGCCGGGCGGCGCGGUGCGAGCCACUGACCCGGUCCCCGGGUCCAGAGGAGCAAAGGGCGAGCUGUCAGAGGCCAGCAUGGAGCCAGAGAGGAAGGGGCUCUGGUCGGCUUCUUCCAACGGAGACGGGAGAGAAGAAAAUAGUGCGUAUCGUGUAUUGCCUGCAUACCAGCCACUCGCCCAGAGCAGUGCUGCAGCUCCCGAGCUCAGAGGCAAUGCUGGCUGCAGCCUGCUGCCAGGAAAUCGGGGAAUCCGGGGGUGGGCACUUCACUGA